UACCUUUUAUUAUUGAAUUUAUGCUUAUGUGUUCAUCUGAAUAGAUUGGCCUAGUGUCAGCCGUCCCAGUUCACUGGUGCUGAAUACAGUCUUAGCAGCCGCGAUAAGGACUAGUUAGACUGCAAUGAGAUGCAUAAAUGGAUAAGUGCCCCUCCAACGGUUGACAUUGCGACGGCCUAAAGACAAGUGCGGUAUCUUUUCAGCCGGUUACUGAAGCAGCAAGCGAUAAAUGAGAAAAGGAGCAUUCACAGUCUUUCUUUUUACAUUCAUUCAUUCUUUUUUCAAGAAAUUGUGCUCCAAAGGAUAUUUUAUUUUAUUUUCACUGGUUUUUGUUUUCGGGUUUUUUUUUUUGGUACAGAUCACAUUUGCUUGCUAUGGAGGAGUCCUUAACUUUUGAUGAAAUCGAGCUGCAUAUGAUAGCCCGCAAGGGAUUGUUCCAGACGUGCUUCUACAACCUAAAGACAUUUUAAAACUGUUUUAUAUUAGUGUUUUAGGUCUUUCGGAUUUUGCCAAAUAUCUAGGGUUUUUAUAAUACUGUUUUAGGUUUUUCUGUUUAGCAUAUCGUAUUUAAAUCUUGGGUGUUGUUUUUUAAAUUUGUAUUUAGGGUAGUGAACGAGCGGGCUUCCCAGGCGCUGGGUUCAUCCUCGGCAGCCUUCGUGUUAUCACGUUGCUGCCAAGAGACGUAGGCAAAUCGCUGGGACGAGUCCGUGGUGGGGAAAGGGCAUUUUGUGAGGCUCAUAGGGAAAUGAGGGGAAGUUUGGAUUAUGUCUUUGUGGAGGCAUUUGCAGAGUUGGAAAAACAAGAAGAAAACAAGAAGAGAGAGAGAGUGACAAUGGUGGUGGUGAAGACAACUGGAGGGUUGAGCGAAGUGGCAUCUCAAACCAAGAUAACAAACAAGAGAUAGAGGCGAUUGAUCUUGUAUAUCAAUGACACAUACGUUAAAGGUGAGUCAAUUUCACAACACAUACGUUAAAGGUGAGUCAAUUUCACAAGUGAGGAUACAAAAUUCAAUAUUGAAAAUCAAGAGUCUCAAUUUAUUACGUUCGGGAUGGGUAGAAUAUAGAAGAAAGGGGUAAUUGCAUUGUUGCAAUGAGGAUCCUAUUGACAUCUUUUGAAAUCAGUGGGAUGGAUUACUAUGAGUUUGAAGUGUAGAAUCUUGAUUUUCAAUAUAGGAUUUUGUCAUCCUCAAUUGUGAUAUUACUCACCUUUAAAUAUAUGUUGUUAAUCUCAAAAGAUGAGUCGCGUCUGUUUCUUAUUUGUGAUGCCACUGCUAUGACGUCCUCGUUUUCUUCUUCUCCAACACCUCCUUUUUCUAUCUUCUUGUCCUCGUUUUCUUCUUCUCCACCAUCUCCUUUUUCUCUCUUCUCUUCCCAUCUCUCCAUGUGGGCAUUGAGCAAAUUUUAUGUAGCAAUUGUUCUCCUUCCAACAGUUAGUUAUCCUCACCACCACCAUUGUCACUCUCUCUUUCUUCUUGUUUUUCCAACUCUGCAAAUCCCUCCGUAAAGAUGUGAUAAAUCCAACUUUCUCUCAUUCCCCACUGGUCCACACAAUGCCCUUUACCCACCGCGGGCUCGUCCCCAGCAAUUUAACUACCACCAUCUCCACUGGUCUGUGAGGAUUCUAAUGAUAUGGAUUGCAUUAGAGUCCCACAGAAAGACACAACAAAAAUAGUUCAGGAAUGUACAGGAGGUUGGCCAUCCUCAAGUCCCGUGAUGAUCCUUCUACCAAACACAGACAAUUCAGCAGCACCUGUCAUGAUUCAGUUGGAAGUUGUGGAGAAGAAAUAGUGACCGCAGAGGUGAGAGUGAAUUCUUUGGAUCCAGCCUGUGAGGGUUCUAAUCACAUGUAUUGUAAGAGAAUACCACAGAAAGGCGAUGUGCAGAAGGAUGGCCAUCCGCAAGGCCUUACGGAAACAGUGCUGACAUGAAAGAUGCAGAACAGUCAGAAGCCUUGGAUGCCAUAGAAACUAUUCGGCUGCGGAAUACCUCAAACAUUAUUGAAAAUGGACAAAUCUCACACAUGACAACUCCAGAAGUGCAGAUCCCGAGUCAACUUCAAGAUAGCUUUUACCCACUUGAAAGCAACGCAUUCAGGAAUAUUAUACAAGUAGAUUUAAGUUCAGUCAGCAGUACCUCUAUGCUACCAGAGAUGCUGACAUACCAAUGCUGUAUAACUUAUCCAACAAAUAAUUCGAGGAGCCGACAUGUUUUAGUGAAAGAAACAAUGAGUGACAGUAAGUUGCUUGUUAUCUAAACCUUUCAUUACUCAUUUUUAGCUCCGUUUGAUCUCUAAUGAAUUCUCCGUGGUAAGAUUAUUUUUUAGACUUUAGCUCUGCCAUUUGUGCAUCUGCUCGAUGAAUACUCCAUGGUAAGAUUAGUAUUUUAGAUUUUAGCUCUUCUGCCCUUGCAUCUCACUUUCUCCAUGUGUGUGGUUCAUUGGGCCCUUAUUCCCCUUUUAUAGCUGUGCAUGCAGCUUAUAUUAGGUGCAAGACUUCUCUGGUACCUAAGACUUAGGAAACUUUAAUAGAUUGAAUCUUCUGAUUCUAAGUUAGCUUUCCUGAUUUGCUUCUGGUUUAUUUUUGAUACACGUGUCUUUCUACCAUUUUUUUUUGUCGAUAUGAAUUCUCAUUGCCCUUCAUUUUGUGCACAAUGUAUUGUCCCUUGUGAUCUCCAAAGCUUUUAUAAUUUCCUUUCUUGGUUUCAACAGCACCGUUUGAUGUGCCACCAACCGAUCAUGCUGGCCUGGUUUACCAGUCGGUUACCCCACUAUGACCUGGGUGCUCCCAAUCCUUUUCAACUUUUGUUGGCAUCCAGCUGUUCAUACAGCCUACACAUGAAUCAAUUGGGUAAACAUGCUAUUUGUCCAGCUCAUCCAAUUUUGACCCAUGAUUUGUUUACAGUUAAUUUAAGAUUGACAGUUAUUUUAAUCAAUCAUCAUCAAAUAUGAGCAUAUUGAUUAGCGUCAUAGUUAAUUUAACAUUAGUAAUGGUGUCAUUGUUCAACAAAAUGAUCUAGGGUUUCUAAUUCUCACGAACCGAAGAAUCUGAAGUUUCCAUCAAUUUACUUUUGCAACAUAGUCAGCACCCUUUGACUAACACCAAGUAAAUUGUCUUUGAAAAUAAUCCCAAUGACCCAAUCAGCUUAGAAAGCUUUAAAGUGAAGACUUUUUUCUUCUCGUUUGCUGGUUUUGCAAAAUUGAAAUCACCUCAAAUGAUAACAAGUUGGUUGUUCUAUGGAUUCAACUAGGCUGUUGUAUAUAUGAUAGACUGCUCUUUCAGCUUGCACCUAGGAACAAUCUAAACUGAAAGCAAUAGAAAAUUUACUAUAGUUAAAUCCCAACAACGAUGGGGUGGUACACUUAAAAUCAAUUUGAGUUCUAGAUGACAAGACUCCAUUGAAAGCAGAAGAUAAUUUUUUAAAGAUGAAACUAGAAAACUUCAAAGCCACAUGAGUGUGUUCAGAAUUCUGAAUUGAUGUGCAUGCCAGCUUCAUUAUCUCUUUUAACUUAGGUUCCUCCACUCCGUGAUACAUCAAUCCAAACUCCUAUCAUUGAUCACUGCUAUAUCACCCAGAUUCAGGCACCAAGUCUCUUUAUGCACUUAUAUUUGUCACUAGGGUAGUAUACAAAUGUGUUGAUGAAGACAAAAAAACAACAGCUUUUAAAACUGUACCCAAGACAUAACAGAUCAUACUAGAGACGACGACUUGGAUGUGUUCUUAAAGAAUAUUACAAUAUGCACCGUUUCCAAUUUUUGGCACCUUUAAAUGAAAAUUGUUAUACUAUCUUUUUAGAACAUGAAUCUUCUGUUUAUAAAAUUCAUCAAAAUUAAAAACAUUUCUGGAUGCAUUAUGUCCAAUUUUCAACAGUCUUAUAUUUUACUUUUCCAUAUCAGCAUUGUCUGGUAUUGAAUGUUAUAUUCCCAUGAUCUAAAAUUACUUACCUACAAUGUUUUCAUUGAAACUGGUGACAAUCAACAUAAGAAAUUUUAUGGUUAAAGAAAAAGAGUUGGAUAAAUUCAUGUUUGAUUGUUCUAUAGUAUCAAAUAUUAAUAAUUCAAUAUUGAUAGCACCAAUAAAAUAAAGAUAAUGAUUGUUUUUCUUCUUAUUAUUUUAUAUACAAGAUGAAUUGAGUUAGCCAUCAUUAUAUCUAUAUGACCUUUUGUUCUUAAAAUGUUUAAAAUUCUAUCUAUUUUCUGCAAGAAAGAGAUAUAUCAAAGUGAAGGCUCUGGAGGCUGCUGGAGUUGCAAAACAAUUUGAAGAGAAAAGGGAACAAGGACACAAAUCUAGGUAGGAACUAGCCAGGCCUAGUGAGCAUGAAAAGAAUUUUCUUGAGAAAUCGAAAGAACUACACAGAGGAAAAAGAAGGUGAAUGAUCCAGUAUUUUGCCUGUAGUGGUAGUAAUAAAUCAAUAUCAAGUGGCAUGGCAAGAAAAAAGGCAGUGGGAUGCACCUUGCAAUCUCGACCAGGCAGUUCUGUGAUUGGUGUUGAUUUGAAGUUGAGAAGAGCUUUAGAAGCCAAGACAAAAUUGGAGCAAGAAAAAUUGAGGAAAUUGGAGGAAAAAAACAGAAAGAGGAAGAAUGGAAGAAAAAUGCAGCAAAGGUUGCAGCAAAUAAGAGGAAAAAGGAAGAGAUGGACAAGAGAGACCGUGAGGAAAAACAAAAGUGAUUGGAAGAAGCACAGAAGUAGCAGAAGAAACUUGAGGAACAACUUCGUGCUGAGAAGGAAAAAGAACAGAGGCUCUGAGCUCUAGUAUCUGAAUAGACACCAUAGUAGAUUUCCCACAUCUAUGUACUUAAUUAUAUGCUGAUAUUAGCUAAGCACUUCACAUAUUGAAACAGGAUGACAAGAAGCAUAAGAGGAAGGCAAUGGAGCAAAAGGAAAAGAAGCAGCUUUGCAUAGUGAAACAAAGGGAAGCUGCUAAGCGCAGAUGAUGAAUAGAGGAGGAUGCCAAGUCAAACAAAUUUGCAUCAAAGGAUGCAAAACACAUGCAAGAAGUCCAUCAGCAUAAUGAAACAACACUUCAGGCCCAAAAUGCAUAUGCUGGAAAGGUAAACUGUUACAACUUAUCGAUUCAGAUCCUGUAGUAAUCAAUUGGACCUGUCAGCUAAUUUUAUCUAUAAUGAUGACAACGGACAAUUUUUUUAUAAAUCUAACUUGUAUACAAGAAACUUGGAGACUGUCUAUACAGGGCUUCUUAUGGUACAAAUGAUGUUUCCAACUUCGUUAAUACAACUGCAUCGUAGGUGUCAAGCAUGUCAACUAGUUGUGCAAAAGGUGCACAUGAAACAAAAGGGCAGUCAAUGUAGGGCAGCAAUGCUAGUUCACAUCUAUCAUCAAAAUCCAACUUCAAUAUUGAAUCUUAUGAAAUAUCGCCUUAUAAGGGUCCAGAUGAAGAGGAUAAUGAUGAUGUAAAUCCAGGGAAACCCAUACCACUAUGGGCAAGGUAGAUGAGGAUAAGUUUCUGUUUGGAUGUUUAUUUUCAACAAGACUAUAAACUUUCAUAACUUUCCGACACUUCUUUUGGUCACAGGAAAGAGUAUUUGAUUCCACAUAUUAUCAGUCAACAAUAUAUUGAUCCUAAUGAGAUAUUCGCUGGUGCAAGAACUUGCAGUUUAAAUGAAGUUUUUGAGUCUUAUGGAUCAACUAGGAGGAGAGAUUUCAAACGACUUUGUUACAAUGGAGAAUUGCUUAAUGACUGUUUUACAUAGAAAGAAGAGCAUCAAUACAAGUUGCAGUUGAAGGUCCUUUAAAAAGUUGUAUGAAGCCAUAAAAAAAUGAAGAGAAAGCUAUCAGUUGAAGGUCCUUUAAAAAGUUGUAUGAAGCCAUAGAAAAAUGAAGAGAAAGCACAAGGACAGUGUUUUGUGAGUCAAAAUAAGAGAAAAAGUGACUAUCAUAUCCAUUCCACGAUGGAAGGGUCAACAGGGCCUCUUGUUAAAGCCAAAGUGCAAGCACCAUAUACCCAAAAGGGUCGAAUAUACAAAGGUGCAUGAUAGUCCAUUAAUCAAAUAGUGAGCAAAUAAGAGCAAACAAAAAAGUGUAUGGUUGAUAGGCCAAGGGUUUCUUCAGCUUCAUAGGGAGAUACGACAAGGAACAAGGAGCAGUAGAAGAGACCUAGAAUGGUAUAAAGGAAACGGUCAAAGUUGAGUCCCAAUGAUCUUUAUGACAGUAAGCAAGAGUGCAUGACAGUCUUGAGAAAGGAAACCCUAAGACAAUCCUUUCAGGGAAUUCACAUUCAAAACAGCAAAUGACUGAGUAUAGGAUAGUUAAUGAGAUCUCAAGUUUGCAGUCACAAUGCAAGAAAGCAAUUUAAUUAAGAUAUUCACAGUCAAGGUAAGAGUUAAGAGCAAAAUAUGAGGUCAGUGAGCUGAAACAGAUUAGGACAGUCAAAACAUUACAUUGUUGACCUUGUCUGUGAUGAUUUUAUACAAACAAGAGCAGUCCAAUCCAAGGGAUUAACAGCUAAUAACAGUCAAAUAGCAAAGCUCCACUAGAAGUCCAAAAGAACAGACAUCAAGAUCAGACCAAAGAUCAAAUCACAAGCCUUUGGAUAGUCAUAGUUUAAGAGGAUAGUGAUUAGUCAUUUGGUGAGCAAAUACCAUACAAAUCGUAAAGGCAAUAAAGGAAUGACAGUGCCUGAAGAGAUCAUGACAGUGUGUUGAUAAGUGAUCAAGGAGGUAGGUGAAGAGAAGAGUAUUCUACAUGCAUGACAAAAUCACAAUCCGUUAGAGCCAAAAGUCCUUGAAUGGCACAAAUGUUAAGACAGUCUUAACAGUAACAAGGAAAUCGUUGAAGAUACAAAAGUAAAAGUAGAUAGUCCAUGACUGCUGCAUAACAGAUGAUGGAGAUUUACACCCAGCAACGUUAAGGAAAGGCAGUCCUAGAAACAAAAGAGACAAAAAUCUACUGAGGACAAUCAGCCCUUCAAUGCUUUGCAUACAAGAAAAUGACAGUCAGGGAGUAUAUUAGGACAGUGGCAAGUGACAAUAGGAGUUUCAUGAUCAUGGACUGUUUUUAGCUGAGAUAUAGAAGAUAGUGAGCUUUGACAUAGCAGUCAUAUAGACCACUUCAAACCAUAUGAGUAAACAUAGAGAUGACAGUACCUUGCAAGAGGACAGUCCAUGGCCUCAAGUAAGACAGAGGCCUAAUACAAUAAGCAAUCUUGUUUAGACUCAGAGCAAAUCUAUUAAGAAAGAGAGGAAAGGAUGAAAAUUUUAAAGGUUAGAACUGUUAGAAGACACCACAAUGACAAGGCUACCAUACAGAACAGAGAAACACUACUGCCAAAACAAGAGAUCACUGUCAAAGAGAUCAUUUAUAACAGUCCCUAGCAUGAAUAGAGAAAAAUAACAUCAAACCCUAGAGAUGAGUCCACGAGUAAAGCAGAGAUAGCUGUCAAAUGAAAUGAACAUAGUGAAAUACAUUGAAACAAAGAGUUUGAAAGCAAUCUUGUGGGAUACUUUGAGGGGGUGACAGAGCAUGCAAAAGGCAGAGAGAAGGCCUUGAGGCAAUAUAAAAGCCAAGAACAACGCAAAGUCUAUCAGUCCAUAAAUGAUAUUGAACAGCAGCAGGACAGUGCCCUAUUUCUUGCAUAGUUAAUGACAUUCCCCAAAGGAAAUGCAAGGUCAGUCCAGAGUAAUAAACAAGGUUAGAGGAAGCAAAGAGAUCAAGAAUCAAUGCUGCAAAAAGCCAGUAUUGACAGUGGUAAGUGGUAUGAGAAAUGGUAUGAGAAAUAGUCCAUGUAUGACAGCACAUGCUGUCAUAACACUUGAAAGACAGUCCCGAUGACAAUGUUUCAAAACAGUUGAAGAGGGACCAAGGCCAAACAUGCAAAACGAAGGUGAAAGAUAUACGACUGUAAUCUUAAAAUUCCUUUGUUAUGAUGAACAGUAAAUAGAUGUGCAGUCAUAUAAGCUCUAAAGGAGGCUAAGAAGAGUCUAAGUUACCAUGAAAUAUUUUGAUUAUGCAGUUUUUGAGUCUAAUGGAUCAAAUAGGAGGAGAUAUUUCAAACUGUGUAGCUACAGUGGGGAAUGACUUAAUGACUGUUUUCCAUGGAAAGAAGAGUGUCAAUACAAGUUGCAGAUGAUAAAUAAAUAAGGGCUGAGUAAAAUCAUUAAACGGAUUCAGGUUGCCUUGUCUGCUUAUUGACAUGUUUGUAUCUAUUAUCACAGUUUUCUACCCUAAAGAUUAAUUUUGUGAAUUUAAUGGUUGCAUAAUGUGAAUCAUACAAAAGGAUGAUAAUUGGAGUCAAAGAUAUCAUCUUGCUGGAAAAAGUAUGAAAAUGAGCCAUAAGGAAGCUGGCACUAAAAAACAAAUCUGGAAAGCUUGUGUUUUUAUUUGAUCCUUUUUUAUUUAUAAGGAUGACACUUAAUGCAUUAUUAAUUUCAACUUUUCCAGGUUUUCCUUCACUCAUCAUGACUUUCUUUGUCAAUUGAGGAUGCACCUAUCUUGUAUUAUAUUGUUGUUUUCCCAUACUUCGCAAAGCUGGACAUCUUCAAGUCUCUUUUGUAAAGCAUGUGCCUGUUACUUGUAACCUUUAUUGCCUCUUCACUAACAUUUUUCAUUCUUCCAGGGUGCUUAGUACCGAAAUCAUUCAAAACUAAUGAUCGGUUGAUUUAAAACUUAUGUUCAAUUGUUUAUGGGAAGCUUUAAGUAAAGGAAAACAAAACUUCAAUUGGAACAUUUAAAAGCACGUUAAAUUUUGA